UAAUAGUUUCGGACCCAACUCAUAAACGGACCUGUUGGAUUCAGACAGUGGUUAUUGGCAAGAUGAGCUCAGAAGUACUUGCCUUGGAAAGCAGCUAAAAAUGUAAACUGGCACAUGAAGGAUAAUACCACAGUUUGAGAAAACAGUGUACUCGUGCUAGAGAGCUCGUUGUCACUCGGCCAUAGUUUUCCAGUCAUUUCCGUAGUUCCUCAAACUGUUUCCGUCUCUGUGUGGCUUGGGUUUAAAUUUUUGUGGCUGUAAUUGGAACUGAGAAUGAAAGGGGCCAAUCAUGAGAAGACAUAGGUACUUGGUAUUCUGGCCUCUACAGUUACUCAUCAGUAAGUGCCCUCUAUGAUGCCAGAGGAUGGAUGUGGAGGUAGACUUGGAGUCUGAUAAUGACACUUGUGACACAGGUGAGGACCAUUCAGAUGAUUCCAGUCAGACAUCUGAGAGGGUGGGUCGCAAAGCCAGCCUCCAGCUGGAAGUUGAAGAGGAUUAUUCACCACCAUCCAGUCCUGACUGCAACCCUGCUGGAACUUCAGGUAGGCAAGAGCUUCCUGUAGAACUGCAGUGUGAAGAGGAGGAAACUUAUGAGACCUAUUACCAGAAGUGUAAUUCAACCACGCCUGGGGUCUUUGUCACCUCCAGCACCAACUUUGACCUGCAAUGUGAAGAUGAGGAUCAGGAACUCUAUUCCUCAGAGCACUCUGAGGAACCUCAGGGUGGACUAAGUGAGGAUGAUGAAAACAUCAUUCUUAUUGAUGCUUUCGAUGAGGAGGAACUGGACCCAAUCUCUGGAGAAGCUUAUCGAUGCAAGAAGUGUGGUACCUCUUUCCAGGACCUUAGUGAAUUACAGGAACACCAGCAGAUUCACCCAACAGAGAAUUCAUACCAAUGCCCGAUCUGCGGCAAAGAGUUCUUCCGAACUGCAAACUUGCGAAUGCACAUGCUCAUUCAUUCUAGUGACAGGCCACACAAGUGUCCAGAGUGUGACAAAGGCUUUAUCCGCACAGCAGAUGUCUGGAGGCACCUACGCAAUGUACACAAGAUUGAGCGUUCAAAAAUUUUGGGGAAUGGUAUGGUUAGGAACCCAUGUUCUUCAGUGCACAGGAACCAAAGUGGUGGAGAUACCUAUCAGCAGUGUUCAGCUGAUCAACAGCCUGGAGAAGAACAGUCUAAACCUUACAUCUGCCCAACAUGUGGCAAAGGUUUCCAUAAACCUAAUCUGCUGUCCAAACAUAAAGUGAUCCACCGGCAGGACAAGCCCUAUGAAUGCCAAGAAUGUGGGAAGUCCUUUGUUCAGUUGCUCAGGUUGAAAAGACACCAAAAAACUCACUCUGGAGAACGCCCUUUCUACUGUGAGGAGUGUGGAGGGACCUUCACACGUCUAGCUUCUCUACAGCGUCACCAACGAAUCCAUACUGGAGAAAAACCCUAUUCUUGUGCUUACUGUGCUCAAGACUUCACAGAAUCAGGCUCUUUGAGGAGACACGAGCGCACGCACAAAGUGAAGACGGCUUAGUGUCUAGAAAAUGUUGCACUAGUAGGAAUUUUGUUUCUUAUCUGACUGAAACUUGUCCAUGCUGCUUGAAAAAUGUUCCCACUCCCAUGAGAAAAGCCAGUUAAGAGCCUUCUUCUCUAGGUCUGACUGGUAUAACCCUAGUAAGGAGACAUUUCAUAAGUAACUGCUUGAUCUGUGCAAGUAAAGACAGUGCUGAGUGGCUCUGCAGACUUACUUAGCAGUUGACAGAGGAAAUAUCUUCAUUGCCAUUUUGUAAUAAGCACACAGAAGUCUACUGAUAUAUGUAGAAAGUAAAGACCCUUGAAGGUAUAUGACAAUUUUAUAGCUAGUUGGACUUUCCCAGGGGGUGCCUCUAGGAGUGAUGCAUUAAAUGAAGCCCUUUCACAUUCAUGGUCUCUGAACUGGUUGGUGUUGCUGUCUGUAAUGUGACUGUUCUCUGGCACUGGAUUUGGAGAUGUCAUUGUUAGGCCUUCAUAAUACAGUCAGAGCUGGCCCAUCCAUACCUUAUCUCUGUGCAUUCUCUGUUUUUUUUAGUGAAGUAUUUUAUUUGGAAAGAAAGCAUCUCAGCACUUGUAAAAAUGGACAGUUAACAUCUACACUGCAUACACAUACCUGCCGAUGGAGAUACUGAUCCAUUGUGUGUUUAUACAUAACUAGAGUUAUAUACAUAUAUUGGUAAAUGGAGAGAGGGUUGUAUGGCUGGUUGUGAUGGUGCAUGUGAAUGGUCUGUCUGGAUCUGUGCCACUUGUCUAGCUGGAGGAGAGCCUUUACCCUGCCCAGCUACUGCAUUACAGUAACAGAUAUUUGAGAACUUAAAAUCAGAAAAAACAGUAAUAAAAAUAAGGAAAAUACUUGCUGUUGGUUUCUGCAGUGUGUAGUAGUUUGAAUUAAUUUUCCUCUAUCUAGUUCUUACUCCAGAAGAGGCAGUGUGCUAGGUAGCAUGCAUUUUAUCACAAAUUCUAGGACUAUUUUUAAAGAGAUACUGAGAAUUAAGGUAUUUUGUGAAUUUGCUAAUUUGAAAAAAAACCUUUGCUUUGCAGCUUCUGCUCUCCUAUAGUGUCUUGUCUUGAAAUUUUAAAAAAUAUCUUCAUAAAUAACUUGCUGGUUUCUAGCUCCCUAUUUUAAUUACCUUUCAAAUUCUCAUUCACUGUAUUCUCUUACGACUGCUGCCUGUGCACACUCCAUUUCAGCUCUGCACGUGCUGUUAUUGAUCCUGUCUUUGGCAUACAC